UACGUAGGGUGCAAGCGUUAAUCGGAAUUACUGGGCGUAAAGCGUGCGCAGGCGGUUGUGCAAGACAGAUGGGAAAUCCCCGGGCUCAACCUGGGAACUGCAUUUGUGACUGCACGGCUGGAGUGCGGCAGAGGGGGAUGGAAUUCCGCGUGUAGCAGUGAAAUGCGUAGAUAUCUGGAGGAACACCGGUGGCGAAGGCGGAUCUCUGGACCAGUUCUGACACUGAUGAGCGAAAGCCAGGGGAGCAAACAGG
rnacentral:rRNA from 1 species